rnacentral:rRNA from 1 species
UUGAAAGGGAAACGAUUGAAGUCAGUCGUUCCUUCGGGUAAUCAGCCUUUUGGGUGUGAUUUUGUGGAGCGUGAGGAGUUAAACGCCUUCAUGCCUGCAUAUUCGUGCACUUUAGGUGUACUUGCCCGUAUGGUUGGUUAACAUCAAUUUUGGUGGUCAUAAAAUGACUGGAGGAAUGUAGCUUCGAUCUCGUAUUGAAGUGUUAUAGCCUUCGGUAGAUGUGAUGAUCGAGAUUGAGGAUUGCAACGGAAACCUUCGGGGCUACCUGUCUGAUCUCUGAUCGUUGCUCUGGUGCCGAAAGCUUGCUUACGGUUAUCAAAGUCGAUGGUCAAUAGGUUAGAACGGGUUAAAUUCGUUAAGGAUGUUGACGUA